CAGUCGCCACGGGAAUACGUAGGGUGCGAGCGUUAAUCGGAAUUACUGGGCGUAAAGCGUGCGUAGGUGGUGGUUUAAGUCCGUUGUGAAAGCCCUGGGCUCAACCUGGGAAUUGCAGUGGAUACUGGGUCACUAGAGUGUGGUAGAGGAUAGUGGAAUUUCCGGUAUAGCAGUGAAAUGCGUAGAGAUCGGAAGGAACAUCUGUGGCGAAGGCGACUAUCUGGGCCAACACUGACACUGAGGCACGAAAGCGUGGGGAGCAAACAGGAUUAGAUACCCCAGUAGUCCCUGUCUCUUAUAC
rnacentral:rRNA from 1 species